rnacentral:tRNA from 1 species
GGGGAAGUGGCUCAGUGGUAGAGCGCUUGCCUUGCAUGCAUGAGGAGGCCCUGGAUUCCAUCCUCA